AUUGAACGCUGGCGGCAGGCCUAACACAUGCAAGUCGGACGGUAGCACAGAGGAGCUUGCUCCUUGGGUGACGAGUGGCGGACGGGUGAGUAAUGUCUGGGGAUCUGCCCGAUAGAGGGGGAUAACCACUGGAAACGGUGGCUAAUACCGCAUAACGUCGCAAGACCAAAGAGGGGGACCUUCGGGCCUCUCACUAUCGGAUGAACCCAGAUGGGAUUAGCUAGUAGGCGGGGUAAUGGCCCACCUAGGCGACGAUCCCUAGCUGGUCUGAGAGUAUGAUCAGCCAAACUGGAACUGAGAAACGGUCCAGACUCCUACGGGAGGCAGCAGUUGGGAAUAUUGCACAAUGGGCGCAAGCCUGAUGCAGCCAUGCCGCGGGUAUGAAGAAGGCCUUCGGGUUGUAAAGUACUUUCAGCGGGGAGGAAGGCGGUGAGGUUAAUAACCUCGCCGAUUGACGUUACCCGCAGAAGAAGCACCGGCUAACUCCGUGCCAGCCGCCGUAACAC
rnacentral:rRNA from 1 species